CAGCAGCCGCGGUAAUACGGAGGGUGCAAGCGUUAAUCGGAAUUACUGGGCGUAAAGCGCACGCAGGCGGUCUGUCAAGUCAGAUGUGAAAUCCCCGGGCUUAACCUGGGAACUGCAUUUGAAACUGGCAGGCUAGAGUCUUGUAGAGGGGGGUAGAAUUCCAGGUGUAGCGGUGAAAUGCGUAGAUAUCGGAAGGAACACCUGUGGCGAAAGCGGCUCACUGGACCAUUUCUGACGCUGAUGCACGAAAGCUAGGGGAGCAAACAGGAUUAGAUACCCGUGUAGUCCCUGUCUCUUAUAC
rnacentral:rRNA from 1 species